rnacentral:lncRNA from 1 species
CUCCAGCCUCCCAGUCUCUCGGAAUCCGCAGCCUAGGUGUGGCGCCCCGACCGGACUUUCACUUCUGGCCAGCCCUUUCCCCACCUGGGCGCGGGAGCGGGUGCCAGUCUUUAAACAACCUCUCGAUGGGUCCCACGAAGAUGUUUCCAGACCCUUGGAAUGCCAAGUUCAAGUUUAGCUAUGUCUCGCGGAGAGGCCGGUGGAAGAAGCAACGAGGUGAUCUUUCCUGCUUGGCAUCGGCAUCCUGGAACCCCGCGACCCUCCUCCUCGCAGGGGUCUCGGGACCCUCACCCUCUCAAGCGGGAACC